AAACAAACAAUGAAAAGAUGAGUAUCUAAUCCGAAUUUCUGACAGAGAGCCAUGAUGAUGAGAAUUGGUAGAAAAAUGGUUAGAGAAGAUGGUCUUGGAGUUACUGGCCGGUCGAGCACAUUUUGCGUGAGAUGGCCACGGUUCACAACCGUUAUCUUGUGUAGCUCCGAUGCUAAUUGGGGUAUUGAGUAAGUCUGAUGGUUAUCAGACAAUUAGGGUGGUACCGUGCCAAAAGGCGCCCCUAGA
rnacentral:ncRNA from 1 species